AAUGAAUUGCCUGACAAAAGGGUUACCUUGAUAGGGUAAAUCAUAUAGAAUUGAACUAUAUUCAUUG
rnacentral:tRNA from 1 species